GGGGGCGUCGCCAAGCGGUAAGGCAGCAGGUUUUGAUCCUGCCAUGCGUUGGUUCGAAUCCAGCCGCCCCUGCCA
rnacentral:tRNA from 1 species